UUUAAAUCCCAGUCAUUAGGAUAAGAAUUCUCUUGAAUAUUCUUAAGUAUUUACAAGGAUAAUGAAUGUAGAUAACUCCCACAUAGGUGUAAAUACCAUCAAACCUGUAUAAUCUUAAUAUGUACAUGAAUAAUGAGUAGUAAGCUGUCAUAUACGUAUAAAUAUCAUCCUACCUGUAUAAUCAUUAGUAUUGACAAGGAUAAUGUGAAGUAAGCUGUCACAUAGGUAUAAAUAUCAUCCUACCUGUAUAAUCAUAAGUAUUGACAAGGAUAAUGAGCAGUAAGCUGUCACAUAGGUAUAAAUAUCAUCCUACCUGUAUAAUCAUAAAUAUUAACAAGGAUAAUGUAUAGUAAGAUGUCACAUAUGUAUAAAUAUUAUCCUCCCUGUAUAAUCAUAAGUUUGACAAGGAUAAUGUGUAGUAAGCUGUCACAUAGGUAUAAAUAUCAUCCUACCUGUAUAAUCAUAAGUAUUGACAAGGAUAAUGUGAAGUAAGCUGUCACAUAGGUAUAAAUAUCAUCCUACCUGUAUAAUCAUAAGUAUUGACAAGGAUAAUGUGUAGUAAGCUGUCACAUAGGUAUAAAUAUCAUCCUACCUGAAAAUCAUAAGUAUUGACAA